rnacentral:rRNA from 1 species
CCUACGGGAGGCAGCAGUGAGGAAUAUUGGUCAAUGGACGAGAGUCUGAACCAGCCAAGUAGCGUGAAGGAUGACUGCCCUAUGGGUUGUAAACUUCUUUUAUAAAUGAAUAAAACGAGGCACGUGUGCCUUUUUGCAUGUACUUUAUGAAUAAGGAUCGGCUAACUCCGUGCCAGCAGCCGCGGUAAUACGGAGGAUCCGAGCGUUGUCCUGAUUUAUUGGGUUUAAAGGGAGCGUAGAUGGGUUGUUACGUCAGUUGUGAAAGUUUGCGGCUCAACCGUAAAAUUGCAAUUGAUACUGGCAGUCUUGAGUACAGUUGAGGUAGGCGGAAUUCGAGGUGUAGCGGUGAAAUGCUUAGAUAUCACGAAGAACCCCGAUUGCGAAGGCAGCUUACUAAACUGUGACUGACAUUGAUGCUCGAAAGUGUGGGUAGCAAACAGGAUUAGAUACCCUAGUAGUC